GGAGUGUCCAACGAUUCAUAUGUUUGGAGAGUUGCUGGAACUGGGCAUGCAAGGUUUAUGACAUACGAUGAAACUAAAAGGCAAAUAACAGGGGGAAAGUUAUUUCCACUAUUUAAAGUUAUCCAAGAAAAACUAAAAUUUAGUUACAUUAUAGUGUAACCGAUAGAAAAAGCCUUUGGACAUAAAGAUAAAAGUGGUAAGUGGAACGGAAUUACAGGACAAGUUGCCAACCAG